rnacentral:misc_RNA from 1 species
GGGGACACGAAUAUGUACGGAAUUUAGCUGGAGAAAUUGCACAAGAGCGUGCGAAACGUCAGGAUGAUGGGAUAUCUGACAAUGAUCUAAUGAAACUUGUGCAACAGAUUGUUCCAUUCCACAUGCAGCAUAAUGCUGAACCAGAAGCUGUUGAUCUUUUGAUGGAGGUCGAAGAUCUUGAUAUGUUGGUUGAGCAUGUCGAGAAGAGUAACUAUAAACGAACUUGUAGCUAUCUGGCUAGUUCGUCUAGCUUUCUUCCAAGUCCAGAUGAUGUGUUAGCACUGAAUAUUGCUUACACAAUAUAUAUGAAGUUCGAAGACUACCCACAUGCUCUGAGGAUCGCUCUUGCUCUACCUGACAUCGAGAA